AACUUACACAUAAUAUCAGUAAAUUCAUGACAUCCUUGGCUCAUGUGAGAUAGUAUAUAUUAUAACAGAACCAUAUUAAUAACUACCAAAAACAAAAGGGGAGGAAAUCUUUGCGUUUUAAAAGACAUUAAAUAUUCUAUAAGAUACAAUCAUUCAGACAACCCACAUUACUAAGCGAAAUCAAUUGAUAUAGUUGUAAAUUAGAGAACCUGUCAUUGUAUUAAAUUGAAAACUGAUGUAAUGGUGUGAUGUUUUUGCACGAUAUUAGGAACAGGACGUGAAAGCGCACUUUAUUUCGGAAGACGGCACUUUCUCUAUCCUUAAUCCUUUUUCAUUCUUUUCGAUGUUAUUAAUGUUAUAAGGAAUUGUGUGUUGAAAAAUGUUCAUUGUCAGGUUGAAAAUGCCAAUUGCCAAUGUCAAUUGUUAAUGGAAGAUCUGAGAAACACAGGAAGUUGGCUGCAUAUCUUAUUUUGAAGACACACUUGUCGUAUGGCGGAAGGGACUACUUCCUCUUGUUCAUGAGUCUUCUGAGAGAGGUGCAAAUUUUUUGUACUCCACUUAUUUGUGUGCGUUAGGCUGUUGACUGAGAGGUUGGUAGUUCGAGCCCACCCAGGGACGUCUCCACAAUAAACACUUCCCUGGCUUUUGUAGGAUGUUAGUAGAUCAAAAGCCCCGAAAAGUACAGUCCAGCAAAGGACAAGUGCUUUGUGGAUUCCAAAUUUCAGCUCGCUGUGUCCUGUCAUUAUCCAAGCCGCUUAUUCUCACAAGGUUUGCAGGAAAGCUGGAGCCUAUCCCAGCUAGCUUUGGGGACAAGGCUGAUUACACCCAAAACUGGUCAUUCGUCAGUCAGAGGGCCGAUAUCAACACCAUCGCUGAGCAGGAAUCGAUCCCAUGCUGCCCGCACUCAAGACAGGAGUGUUUACCACGACACCAUCAUCGUCUCUGAACGACGAGUCGGGGUGAGGGUGAGCCUCCAGACGGGAGACGACUUUGAAAAAGCUUUUGACCGAGUCUCGCAUAAAUACAUUUUUAUUCUACUAGAAAAAUGUGGAUUUCCAGAAAGAUCUGGACCGAGACAUCUUUUGCUUCCUCUCGGGCUCCAAGUGGGAAAGACUCAGGAGGAAGGUUCACAGCCACAAAGAAGAGUUGUCUGUGCCCACCUGAAGGAGGGAAAAGGAGCUCCACAGCAAAGGUCUUGGCAGGAAGGAGCAAAGAAAUGAACGUCGGCGACUGUCGCUGGGCACCCGCGGCAGGAUCCUGGACCAUGGUGUUUGGGAGUGUGGGAUGAGGCCCACUUAGUAAAUCAUCAUUAAAAUUAGAUCAUUAGAAGAAAAUGAAGAUUUUAAUGCGGUAUUCAGUGCCUUGUUUUUUUUUUUUUUUAAAGCUUGGACAGUAUAACUGGAUUUUGCUUGAACACCUGGAGGAUGCAUUCACUCUUCACACUUUUCCAAAAGACGCCGUUCAUUGUGAAAAGUGGUUUUCACUAGAACCACACAAAUUUUUAUCAGGCCCCAGUGAGAAUUGAACUCACGCCCCUGGUUUACAAGACCAAUGCUCUAACCACUGAGCUAUGGAGCCUUGCUGAGCAGUGCUAUCCACACCAACAAGUUAUUGUUGUAGGAGUGCAGACCCUUUCUGACACAGUCCGUCACCUGACACUUCCCCCUGACUAACCAUUGCCACUUCCUGGUCCUUCACACUUGCCUCUUCUACUCUUCCUUCUCUCUCAUUUUCUUUUUUUCACAACUCUCUCUCUGUCUGGGAUGCUCAGAACUACUUCAUCUUGUUCCUUCCAGAAUCAGAAUUUCUCGUUCAUCUCUCGGUCACAUCCUACCUGUUGGCAUAGCCGCUUACCACAUUAUACAUAACACCCUCAAUUUCAAAUUUCAACCUCAUCACUCGAUCUUUUACUCUUUUCACUUCCAAGACAUUCUUAGCCAGCUCUUCCUUUAAAAUAAUCCCGACUCCAUUUCUCUUCCCCUCUACUUCAUGGUGCAAUAUUUUACACCAAGAUGACCAAGGUGGGGCAUUGCUGACUGUCUCCUCAUUAGCAUAGUGGACAGUGUCUCUGCCUGUCACGCAGAAGACCAGGUUUUGAUUCCCUAUUGGGGACUUGGUUGCUUUGUGGCAAAAUAAAAAAGCGCAUCACCCAAUUUUCCAAAUUGGGACCUUUCUGUAGUUGUCAAACAUAACCUCAACCACACUGAAACCUUUUCUCUCAUCCUGUCUGUUAGGAGGACCAGCAAAUUGCCUUGCUUACCUGCAUUGCCGAAUCCAUCCACCAAUCUGUCCGUUUUCUGAGCCGCUUAUCCUCAUGGGGCUCGUCGGAGUGCUGGAGCCUCUCCCAGCUGUUGGCCUCACAGCACUGUGAUCCCGGUUCCAACCACAAACCCACCUGAGUGCACACCCCACAUCCCCCUCCCCCCACCCCCAACCCCAGUUAACGCGAGGGGUCCGGGUGGACUCGUCAGGAGGACAACCCGGACGCCAAGCACCAGGAUCCCCACGGGGCGAUUCAUUUUGAGGCUCAGCUGUUAAAGGGUUAAUUCUAUGCCAAAAUACUCCCUCAA